ACGGGGGGUGCUAGCGUUAUUCGGAAUCAUUGGGCGUAAAGGGCGCGUAGGCGGUCUUUUAAGUCAGAUGUGAAAGCCCUCGGCUUAACUGAGGAAGUGCAUUUGAUACUAAAAGACUUGAGUAUGGGAGAGGGAAGCGGAAUUCCUGGUAGAGCGGUGACAUGCGUAAAUAUCGGGGGGGAGGCGCGUGGCGGUGGAGACUACCUAGGCUUAUACUGACUCUUAGUCGCGAAGUUUUCGGAUGCAGUGAG
rnacentral:rRNA from 1 species